rnacentral:rRNA from 1 species
ACGCACGCUGGCGGCGUGCUUAACCCAUGCAAGUCGAACGGUAAGGCCCCUUCGGGGGUACACGAGUGGCGAACGGGUGAGUAACACGUGAGCAACCUGCCCUUGACUCUGGAAUAACAGUUGGAAACAGCUGCUAAUACUGGAUAUUCAUCGUCUCCUUCCUGGGGGGUGGUGGAAAGCUCCGGCGGUCAGGGAUGGGCUCGCGGCCUACCAGCUUGUUGGUGAGGUAAUGGCUCACCAAGGCUUCGACGGGUAGCCGGCCUGAGAGGGCGACCGGCCACACUGGGACUGAGAUACGGCCCAGACUCCUACGGGAGGCAGCAGUGGGGAAUAUUGCACAAUGGGCGCAAGCCUGAUGCAGCAACGCCGCGUGCGGGAUGACGGCCUUCGGGUUGUAAACCGCUUUCAGUAGGGACGAAGGGUGACUGACGGUACCUACAGAAGAAGGACCGGCUAACUACGUG